AAAUAUCAACCUCCUUGGUUUCUUCUGGAGACCAAAGGAGGAUUGGACUUUGGAGGCCUUUGCUGGCAUCUUUCUCUUUUGAAGGCCAGCUCCUCUUGAAUGAAUUAGCAGGGUCCUCUUUGCCAACCCUUGACAUGUGAUAAUACGUUUCCGUGUCUUGGUUUCUGGCUCUGUUGCUUCUGGGACCUGCUUCCAACCGUCUCAACCUUGCAUCGAGACAAUGUUCGGGCACGUCUCCCUUCUUGGGAAACCUCCUCGACCCCACGAAC
rnacentral:misc_RNA from 1 species